CUUGAACGCUGGCGGCAUGCCUUACACAUGCAAGUCGAACGGUAACAGGUCUUCGGAUGCUGACGAGUGGCGAACGGGUGAGUAAUACAUCGGAACGUGCCUAGUAGUGGGGGAUAACUACUCGAAAGAGUGGCUAAUACCGCAUGAGAUCUACGGAUGAAAGCAGGGGAUCGCAAGACCUUGUGCUAUUAGAGCGGCCGAUGGCAGAUUAGGUAGUUGGUGGGAUAAAAGCUACCAAGCCGACGAUCUGUAGCUGGUCUGAGAGGACGAUCAGCCACACUGGGACUGAGACACGGCCCAGACUCCUACGGGAGGCAGCAGUGGGGAAUUUUGGACAAUGGGCGCAAGCCUGAUCCAGCAAUGCCGCGUGCAGGAUGAAGGCCUUCGGGUUGUAAACUGCUUUUGUACGGAACGAAAAGCCCUGGGUUAAUACCCUGGGGUCAUGACGGUACCGUAAGAAUAAGCACCGGCUAACUACGUGCCAGCCGCCGCUGUAACAC
rnacentral:rRNA from 1 species